GUGAAUCAUCAAAUUUUUGAACGCAAAUUGCGCUUCCUAGCAUCCCGGGGAGUAUGCCUGUUUGAGGGUCAGUAUUAAUAAAAAAUCGGGUUAGGUGCAAAGUGUGACGGUUCCGGGGGUUGGGCAAUCUUAACAUUGUUGGUUAAGAGGCUUAAAAUUGACCUUUUUUGCGCAUUUUUAAACGUACAUAAAUUUUUUUUAUUCGUCUAUUCUUAAUGCCAAAAUCUUAUUAGAUGCGAUCACAGCGUGUGGCUUCGUGUCUAUAAAA
rnacentral:misc_RNA from 1 species